rnacentral:rRNA from 1 species
GAUGAACGCUGGCGGCGUGCCUAAUACAUGCAAAUCGAGCGAACGGACGAGAAGCUUGCUUCUCUGAUGUUAGCGGCGGACGGGUGAGUAACACGUGGAUAACCUACCUAUAAGACUGGGAUAACUUCGGGAAACCGGAGCUAAUACCGGAUAAUAUUUUGAACCGCAUGGUUCAAAAGUGAAAGACGGUCUUGCUGUCACUUAUAGAUGGAUCCGCGCUGCAUUAGCUAGUUGGUAAGGUAACGGCUUACCAAGGCAACGAUGCAUAGCCGACCUGAGAGGGUGAUCGGCCACACUGGAACUGAGACACGGUCCAGACUCCUACGGGAGGCAGCAGUAGGGAAUCUUCCGCGAAGGGCGAAAGCCUGACGGAGCAACGCCGCGUGAGUGAUGAAGGUCUUCGGAUCGUAAAACUCUGUUAUUAGGGAAGAACAUAUGUGUAAGUAACUGUGCACAUCUUGACGGUACCUAAUCAGAAAGCCACGGCUAACUACGUG